CUACGGGUCGCACCAGGUAGGAAUCUUUUACAAUGCACGCAAGUGUGAUACAUUGAGUUAGAGUGCCUUCCAUUGGAAGGCUUUUGCCAAAUCAAAAAAGUUUGGCGAAUAAGGACUGGGUAAGACGAGUGCCAGCCGCCGCGGUAAUACUCGCGGUCCAAGUCGCAGCCAUUUUUAUUGGGUCUAAAACAUCCGUAGCUUGCUUAGCAAGUUUUCUGUGAAAUUCUAUCUCUUAAGGGUAGAGCGAGCAGAAAAUACUACUAAGCUAGAGACUGGAAGACGUAACGAGUACGUUCAGAGUAACGGUUAAAUGUGUUAAUCCUGGGCGGACUAACAACAGCGAAGGCACGUUACGAGGACAGUUCUGACAGUAAGGGAUGAAGGCUAGGGGCGCAAAUGGGAUUAGAUACCCUCGUAGUC
rnacentral:rRNA from 1 species